UGCAACAUAAAUUAGCAUGACUAGGUAUCAAAGCUAAGUAGUGACAUGCAUCUAUCCUAGUAGUUAAUGGAAGCCAAAGUAUUUAGUUGUAACUUUGAGAGGUAACCUUUAUCAAUCAAAUAAUCAACUUUCCUAUUUUACUUUUUAAUAAUCUUUCUUUAUCUUUGGUCAUCUCUUAAUUCAUAGUUUGUAAUGCAGCUGUAGGGACCAUGCAUGCAUAUAUUUAGCCCCAUAUCGAUUAUUCACUGGAAAGAUCUUGAAUACUUAUAUAGAGUAAAAAGAUCAAAAUAGUAUCUUCUAACUAAUCUUCUUAGAUGAGAUCUUAGAUCGUUAUAAAUAAUAUCAAAGCCAAAAUCAACUCAUAGCCUAU
rnacentral:lncRNA from 1 species